rnacentral:lncRNA from 1 species
UUUCUUGAGUGUGAAAACCUAUGAUCUAUGAUCGGGCGACGUUGACGCUUGUGCACAAUUUUUUCUUAAAGACGUCGCUUUUGAAGACUUUGGACUUCAUGUUGUCUUGGUGGCCGGACUUUUCCUUUUUAGCUUUUUUUUCAAAUGUGUGCAUCGGUAUUGUCAUUAGGAUAUUAUUUUAUUACAAAGAUUAAGUGUAAUCGAUAUCUUCAUAAUAUCAAUUUAUAUUUUUUAUCAAAAAAAUACCCCGCGUAAGCCCGCCUUGCACGUGAAAGAACACAUGCGUAGACUCUACGGCCGGUGACCGCGCGUCGACAUCUUGUCCACAUGCGUGCCAACCGAUUCACCGCCUUAACCGUAAGUCCAAACCGAUUUGACACAACUUUUUAGAAAGAGAAAAAACAUCAUGAGCUUGAUUUGAUCCCAUCGAUCGCGAUUUGGCGGUACAUCAUCACAAUAAACAUGUCGUCAAAGGCGUGCCGCACUAAGCGAAGAUCGUCGUGGAGCUAGCGCAAGUCAUGUCACAUGAUCGAUCUUCCCAGCACAAGGAUCACGCAGCGGUCUUCUUCCGCCAGAUCUUCCACCCUGACGUCGAGACUCACGUUGAACAAAUGCUCCGGCUGGCCCCCCGUUCGAGCCGUCAGCUGGCUGGCUGUUGACACAGCCAUUUGAAAACAUGCAUGUGCUACCGACUCAGUAACACUCAAUCGUGGCCGUACGUGUAUCUCUCUAAAUAUACGAGGAGUAGGACGACGAGAGAAAAAAAAACUUGAUGGUGCUAUUCCAGGGACAUGCACUUGGGCAAGAGGCCAGCGUCUGCAUCAGGAGGAAAGGUUCUCCUCGGCAUUGGCCAUGGCCACCUUGGGUCCCGACGCAGCGCAUGGACUUCCAUCGAAUCAUGCAGGCAGGACCCAGAGGACCACGGGCCACCGCGCCACGUACAGCUUUAGGACAUAUAGAUAGAUCACGGUGGAUUUGAUUUGAUUACGUACGUACUCUGUGUUGUGUUGAAGGCGCCGGCCGGACCAAUGGACGAGCCAAAGUUUUCCCCCGCUCGCGACGGCCGGUGGCGUUCGCGGCCGUCCGGCCUUGAUCCGACGGUCCCGGUCGCGCUGGAAUACGGUCGACGGCGAGACGGCCCCGCCUGCAUUGCAUGCUCCCCGUACGCUCCGUUCGUGGAGAGUGGUCGUACAAUCC